UGGCUCAGAGGUUAAAGCGUCUGCCUGGAAUGCAGGAGACCUGGGUUAAAUCCCUG
rnacentral:tRNA from 1 species